rnacentral:rRNA from 1 species
AUUGAACGCUGGCGGAAUGCUUUACACAUGCAAGUCGGGCGGCAGCGCGGGGGCAACCCUGGCGGCGAGCGGCGAACGGGUGAGUAAUGCAUCGGAACGUACCCAGUCGUGGGGGAUAACUGUCCGAAAGGACAGCUAAUACCGCAUACGACCUGAGGGUGAAAGCGGGGGAUCGCAAGACCUCGCGCGAUUGGAGCGGCGGAUGUCGGAUUAGCUAGUUGGUGGGGUAAAGGCCCACCAAGGCGACGAUCUGUAGCUGGUCUGAGAGGACGACCAGCCACACUGGAACUGAGACACGGUCCAGACUCCUACGGGAGGCAGCAGUGGGGAAUUUUGGACAAUGGGGGCAACCCUGAUCCAGCCAUUCCGCGUGAGUGAAGAAGGCCUUCGGGUUGUAAAGCUCUUUCGGCAGGAACGAAACGGUCGUCGCUAAUACCGAUGGCUAAUGACGGUACCUGAAGAAGAAGCACCGGCUAACUACGUGCCAGCCGCCGCGGUAA